rnacentral:rRNA from 1 species
UACGUAGGGUGCAAGCGUUGUCCGGAAUUAUUGGGCGUAAAGAGCUCGUAGGCGGUCUGUCGCGUCUGCUGUGAAAACUCGGGGCUUAACCCCGGGCCUGCAGUGGGUACGGGCAGACUAGAGUGCGGUAGGGGAGACUGGAAUUCCUGGUGUAGCGGUGAAAUGCGUAGAUAUCUGGAGGAACACCGGUGGCGAAGGCGGCGUCCUGGACCAACACUGACACUGAGGAGCGAAAGCCAGGGGAGCAAACGGG